rnacentral:rRNA from 1 species
AACGAACGCUGGCGGCAUGCCUAACACAUGCAAGUCGAACGAUGCCUCCGGGCAUAGUGGCGCACGGGUGCGUAACGCGUGGGAAUCUGCCCUCGGGUUCGGAAUAACUCGCCGAAAGGCGAGCUAAUACCGGAUGAUGACGUAAGUCCAAAGAUUUAUCGCCCAAGGAUGAGCCCGCGUAGGAUUAGCUAGUUGGUGGGGUAAAGGCCCACCAAGGCGACGAUCCUUAGCUGGUCUGAGAGUAUGAUCAGCCACACUGGGACUGAGACACGGCCCAGACUCCUACGGGAGGCAGCAGUGGGGAAUAUUGGACAGUGGGCGAAAGCCUGAUCCAGCAAUGCCGCGUGAGUGAUGAAGGCCUGAGGGUUGUAAAGCUCUUUUACCCGGGAUGAUAAUGACAGUACCGGGAGAAUAAGCUCCGGCUAACUCCGUG